UACGUAGGGGGCAAGCGUUGUCCGGAAUCAUUGGGCGUAAAGCGCGUGUAGGCGGCCCGGUAAGUCCGCUGUGAAAGUCAAGGGCUCAACCCUUGAAUGCCGGUGGAUACUGUCGGGCUAGAGUGCGGGAGAGGCGAGUGGAAUUCCUGGUGUAGCGGUGAAAUGCGCAGAUAUCAGGAGGAACACCAAUUGCGAAGGCAGCUCGCUGGAACGUAACUGACGCUGAGACGCGAAAGCGUGGGGAGCAAACAGG
rnacentral:rRNA from 1 species